UUUUGCAUGGUGGAGAAGCAGGGCACAUGCAUUGCAACCUGAUGCAAAAACCCUUCCAUGUUAAUGAGUUGGUAUAGGAAUCACCUCAUAUACUGCUCAUAUACUGACCGAAAAAACAAAAAAAAUCAAGCAAUGGAAAGGUUAGUAAUUCAUGCGCCCAACUUCUCCACCAAGCCCAA
rnacentral:pre_miRNA from 1 species